AUUGCUUCUCUCACCUUAUCUCCUAUCAGCCCUGGGCUGGGGCCCUUUCCCUGCAGGUUAGCCAGAUGAAAUAAUCUUGGAGAGCGUUUCUGAAUUCAGGGCGGGGGACCAUGAGACAAAUGGAUCCCAGAGCACGCUCAGGCCAUUCUUUGUACGUCUGAUCUGGGCACCUCCCGUCAAAAUACACCCAACGUUAUUACUCUUCAUUAGCGGCGGCACGCACCUCCAGGCAGAGAAGCGAUUGGUCAGAGGGGGCGAUGCAGGAAGUGUUCAUUCAUGUGGAAUGACAUGGGUCCGUAUUCAUUUUUCCGGAGCACAGUAUCUGACCAGGAACAACUAAGGACGCGCUUACAUUAGGCUACAUUUCCACGGGCCUUCAAAGAAGACUCGUGCCGUGAAAUUAUUUUCUUGUGUAGACUUUCAGAUGACAAACUCGAGAUGCCAGCUUCCUGAGGUGGCGUGCGCCACUUUUUUUUUUUAUCAGGUUUUGCAUAUCGCUCGAUUUUCCCUCGAUUCACGAGCACAAUCCUGCAUGAACAUGCCAGUGUAAAUUCAAACAGUACGGAAAUGAAGACAAGUCUAUCUAACGUGUUAUUCUCUCAGUCGUAAAUUGCCCACGUACAGUAUAUAAGAUCAGCCGUUAUAGAGAAAGGAGGAGCAGGUCGCUGUUCAUGUUCGCUCUUCGUCAUUAACAGCCUUCACAUCACUACACGUGAUGCUAACAGUACGAUAGCAGCUCCUUCCCUGUCGUGGAAAACACUGAGAGCGCUUUGUGAUUUGGUGUUCCGGGCUCGUCGGCAGAGAGGAGGAUAAUUAGCCGGCAUGCAAGAGGAGAAGGAGGCGUCGGGUGCUCAAGGGGGAGGAAGAGACUUGAAUAAGAAAUGGGGUGCUGUCGGAAAACGCUGAGGGAGCCGUGCGGGCAGGCCGGCAGCCCGGGAGGGGAUGUCGUGCGGUUUGGCUGGCGGUGCCGGGUGCACUGGGCAGGGGAGUGAGGAAGCGGCGGGCGGUGGGAGCCUCGGGGGGAAGGCUACAUCUGGCCUCUAAUGAGC
ensembl:lncRNA